rnacentral:rRNA from 1 species
CGAGCCGAGAGGGGAGAGCCCUCGGCGUACGGCUGAGUAACACGCGGAUAACCUGCCUCUGGGACCGGGAUAACCCCGGGAAACUGGGACUAAUACCGGAUAGGCCAUGGGUGCUGGAAUGCCCCAUGGCUGAGAGGCCCUGUGGCUAAAGAGAUAAAAGCUAUUAAGGGCGCCCAAAGAUGGGUCUGCGGCCUAUCAGGUUGUAGUGGGUGUAACGUACCUACUAGCCGAAGACGGGCAGGGGUUGUGAGAGCAAGAGCCCCCAGAUGGACUCUGAGACACGAAUCCAGGCCCUACGGGGUGCAGCAGGCGCGAACACUUUACAAUGCGGGCAACCGCGAUAAGGGGACCCCGAGUGCCUGAUGAAGGCUGUCCCGCCGUGUAAAAAGCGGCGGAAAGCAAGGGCCGGGCAAGUCCGGUGCCAGCCGCCGCGGUGACACCGGCGGCCCGAGUGGUGGCCACUUUUGUUUGGUUUAAAGGGCCUGUAACCGGCCUAUUAAGUCUCCUGGGAAAUCUGGCGGCUUAACCGUCAGGCGUCCAGGAGAUACUGGUGGGCUUGGGACCGGGAGAGAUGGGAGGUACUCUAGGGGUAGGGGUGAAAUCCGAAGAUCCCUGGGGGACCAACAGUGGCGAAGGCGUCCCACCAGAACGGCUCCGACGGUGAGGGACGAAAGCUGGGGGCUCAAACCGGAUCAGAUACCCGGGUAGUCCCAGCCCUAAACGAUGCUCGCCAGGCAUCAGGUGCGGUUCGGCCGCACCUGGUGCCGCAGUGAAAACACUAAGCG